UACGUAGGGUCCGAGCGUUGUCCGGAAUUACUGGGCGUAAAGAGCUCGUAGGUGGUUUGUCGCGUUGUUCGUGAAAACUCACAGCUUAACUGUGGGCGUGCGGGCGAUACGGGCAGACUUGAGUACUGCAGGGGAGACUGGAAUUCCUGGUGUAGCGGUGGAAUGCGCAGAUAUCAGGAGGAACACCGGUGGCGAAGGCGGGUCUCUGGGCAGUAACUGACGGCUGAGCCGCGAAAGCCCAGGGGAGCGAACGGG
rnacentral:rRNA from 1 species